UUUCCAGACUCCUACGGGAGGCAGCAGUGGGGGAUAUUGCACAAUGGGCGCAAGCCUGAUGCAGCGACGCCGCGUGAGCGAAGAAGUAUUUCGGUAUGUAAAGCUCUAUCAGCAGGGAAGAAAAUGACGGUACCUGACUAAGAAGCUCCGGCUAAAUACGUGCCAGCAGCCGCGGUAAUACGUAGGGGGCAAGCGUUAUCCGGAUUUACUGGGUGUAAAGGGAGCGUAGACGGCGAUGCAAGCCAGAUGUGAAAGCCCGCGGCUCAACUGCGGGAGUGCAUUUGGAACUGUAUGGCUGGAGUGCAGGAGAGGCAGGCGGAAUUCCUAGUGUAGCGGUGAAAUGCGUAGAUAUUAGGAGGAACACCAGUGGCGAAGGCGGCCUGCUGGACUGUAACUGACGUUGAGGCUCGGAAGGGUGGGGAGCAAACAGGAUUAGAUACCCCGGUAUA
rnacentral:rRNA from 1 species